rnacentral:lncRNA from 1 species
AGAAAAGGUUUGAGGACAAGGGGUUAAUCAUGUGGGAAAAAUAAAGUUAGGUUUUAAGAAAAUUUCUACCUCUUCCACCUCCUAGCUGGUGGCCUGUGAAAGUCCCUUUACUUCUCAGAGCCUCUUUUUCCACAUCUGUAAAAUGGGCAUACUAUUCCCGAUCCAUACGAUUUGUGCAAAUAUUCAGUGAGACACUGGAAGCCUGCUCUCUGGAGUCACUCAGUCAGCAGGGUUGCUGUUUCUACAACACAGCAAGGUCCAAAUCGUAGGUUGUUUUUUUUUUUUUUUUUUUGAGACAAAGUCUUGCUCUGUCAGCCAGGCUGGAGUGCAGUGGUGCGAUCUUGCCUCACUGCAACCUCUGCCUCUCAGGUUCAAGUGAUUCUCCUGCCUCAGCCGCUGGGGUAGCUGGGAUUACAGGCGCCUGCCACCAUGUCUGGCUGAUUUUUGUAUUUUUAGUAGAGAUGGGGUUUCACCAUGUUGGCCAGGCUGGUCUUGAACUCCUGGCCUCAAGUAAUCCGCCCACCUCGGCUUCCCAAGGUGCUGAGAUUACAGGCAUGAGCCACUACGUCCAGCCUCCUAGUUUAUUCUUUAGUAACUGUGUGACCUUAGGCAAAUGCCUUCACCUCUCUGUGCCUUACCUUUCUCAUCUCCAGUAUUAGCAUAACCACACCUACCCUAUAUUAUUAUUGGAAACAUUCUUUUUUUUUUUUUUUUUACAGUCUUGCUCUGUCACCCAGGUUGGAGUGCAGUGGCGCGAUCUCGGCUCACUGCAGCCUCCGCCUCCCAGGUUCAAGCGAUUCUUCUGCCUCAGCCUCCUGAAUAGCUGAGACUACAGGUGUGCACCACCAUGCCCGGCUAAUUUUUUUGUAUUUUUAGUAGAGAUGGGGUUUUGCCAUGUUGGCCACGCUGGUCUCGAACUCCUGACCUCAGGUGAUCCACCCACCUCGGCCUUUCAAAGUGUUGGAAUUACAGGCAUGAGCCACUGCUCCCGGCCUGUUAUGGGAAACAUUCAAUGACUAAAGUGAUGCCCAGUGCCUGGCACAUGGGAAGCGCUAAGCCAAUGGCAGCUGCCUUCAUGAUAGACCCUGAAUUGUAGAACUACAGCAUCUUAGAAAGAUCUGCAGAUGCAGACUCAUAGAAUCUUGGAAUCCCAGGACAUUAGAACAGUAGAAUCUUAGAUAAUACAUGCUUAGAAUCUUGGAAUCACAGAGCCAUAGAACUGUUGAAGUUUUAGAGCCAGAAGGACCAGAGACCAUCUGCCCCAGUGAUUUGCAAGCCCAUGGAAAUUUGCAAAUACUACUACUACCACCACCAACAAUAACAACAAAAGCAGCAUCAACAGCUAACAGUUUAAUAGAGUAACUUAUCUAGGUUCCACCACAACCCUAAGAUAGGUGUUAUUAUUACCCCAUUUUCUAGAUUGGGAAAUGGAGGCACAAAGAAAGAACUUGCACAAGUUCUUUCACAGGUGAGAAAAAUGAGGAUUGGAGAAAUCAAAGUCACUUGCUCAAGGUCACAUAGGACGUAAGUACUGUACGGAGAAGGAUUCAACUAAACAACAGAGCCCAGAGCCUGAGUUUUCAGCUAUGAUCUCCCUCAGUCUUUGGAACACUCGAGUAAUAAGGCAGGGAAUAAAUCCUGGUUCUAUAACCUUUCGACUCCACUGUCUCAGAGCUCCUGUGGAUUAGGGGGAGGGGGUAGAAGGCUCAGGCACAGAUGGUGCUGACCCCAUUUUCCUUGCAACAUUCACAAACUCCUGAUGAACCCUGAGUCCCUUGUGGCCACGACCAAGGCGGAGGGAAGAGGCAAUGCCCUCGCCUCCCUGUAAACUGUGAAUAACUUGUGCGCUGCUGGUGGGAAGGGAUUCGGGAGAAACCUGGCGGGGAGCGAGGAGCUUCAGCACCAAGGACAGCGUCCGCGCUACACGCCCCAAGCCCUGCGGUCUUUUUUGGGAGCGCUCCACCCUGCAGCUCUCCUCCAGGCUUCUCCGCCCACCAUUUCCCCAUGAGCUUAGGGGAACUCAGGCCUGUGCUCUGCCCCACCUCAGGGCAACGACAGGAC